CGCGUAGGCGGGUCAGCAAGUCUGGGGUGAAAUCUUUCGGCUCAACCGGAAAAGUGCCUUGGAUACUGCUGGUCUCAAGGGAGGUAGGGGUCUGUGGAACUUCUGGUGGAGCGGUGAAAUGCGUUGAUAUCAGAAGGAACGCCGGUGGCGAAAGCGACGGACUGGAUCUCUUCUGACGCUGAGGCGCGAAAGCUAGGGGAGCAAACG
rnacentral:rRNA from 1 species